CAACCCUCAGGCCCCGUAAUCUCUCGGGGCCUGGCGUUGGGGAUCGGCCCUGCAGCCCAGGGCCGGCCCCGAAAUCCAGUGGCGGUCACGCCGCGGCUUCCUCUGCGUAGUAGAAACACCUCGCAUAGGGACGCGGCGCGGCCACGCCGUAAAGCGGGCGCGAGCCCAACUUCUUCAA
rnacentral:misc_RNA from 1 species